CCGGCACGGGUGAGUAACACGUAUGGAACCUGCCCUAUGCAGGGGGAUAAGCGGAAGAAAUUCCGUCUAAUACCGCAUAACACCAUUUGGAGACAUCUCCAGGGGGUCAAAGGAGGCGACUCCGGCAUAGGAUGGCCAUGCGUCGCAUUAGCUAGUCGGCGGGGUAACGGCCCACCGAGGCGACGAUGCGUAGGGGUUCUGAGAGGAAGGUCCCCCACACUGGUACUGAGACACGGACCAGACUCCUACGGGAGGCAGCAG
rnacentral:rRNA from 1 species